GAGCUAAUGCCUUUUUCAUAUUCAUCAUUAUAUUAUGUUAUGUAAUGCCUUCUGGAUUCCACUUCACAACCACCAUCAACAGCCAUGGAACUAACUCAUUAAGAUGAACUCUUGUUCCACACAGCACAACAAGCACUCCAUGAAGGAAAGCUCUGCAAUCUGCAUGCAGCAUGAAUCUGCCACAACACAACACAGGGUCCCUCUAUCUUAUUUUCUAUAUCCCGGUGUGAAGAGUGUUCCAUAAUGUCACCAGCUGAGAGAGGGAGGAUAGUUGAUCCUGUACUGUAUUCAGAACUGGCUGGAGAGUCUUCAUACAGAUCCAUUUGCCUGAAUCAUAUUAAAAAAAUAUUAGUCUUC